ensembl:lncRNA
UCUUGGUGGAGAUCCCUGUCUACCUGAGGUCUUCUAAGGGAUUACAUAAAGUUCUAAGAGACAAUUGGAAGAAGUGUUAACAAAACCAAGAUGGAUUGUAUUAAUCAGUGGCAAAGGAAGAGGUAUACUUCUUUCAUUACUAAGGAGGAGGCAGUGAACAGCUGCGGUUCCUUGAAGAAGAAAUCUCAGCACCAAAGAGAUUGUACCUAAUACAUCUGUGGAAGUGACUGCACUUGUCUGAGGUUUACUCUGACAUAUAGUAAGGAUGAAGUAGAUUUAUCUUCUUUCUCAUUCUUCAGCCUUGCUUUGAAAGCGGAGAAUAAGUUAUUAUCAUGACUUCCUCUGCUUCCUUUUUCUGAUUACUUGCAGUUUUUGUGGCCAAUUCUCUGUGCUCCCAGGUUGCAGGGAACUAUGACUGUCACAAGCCCUUCUCAGCUGCGAAGAGGUAGAUCUAUUGUACAUCUCUCAGUUUAAACUUCAGAAUUACAUGGAAUCAUCACAAUAUGGCUCUAGAUACCAUAAUGCUUUUGAAGUCUUAUGCCCUUUUGAAAAAACAGCCUUUGCAGCUUCUUCCACACUACCACCUCCUCCUUGUGUUCAUUGGGUAUUACUGUCGGUCCAAGGUGCUUUAUGUCUAUAUUAAAUCUUUAAACAGCCUUUGCUCAGCACAGUGUGUGUUUCUCAAAGAAUGAUAUGAUAUGUCUUUGAGUGAUGGAGCAGAAAGCCUGAAAGAAGGAAAUCAAGACUUUUACAAUGGUUGGAAAUAGCAGGAACAACUUGAUAAAACUGCUUUGAACCAUUGAGUUUUCCCAUAGUGCCUACAAAAUGCACAUCUCAACAAAUGAAUGAAGGUACAGAGCCCAGCUGCUGAGGGCCUUGAUCCCUAGUGGCUCUUUCAUAAUGGACAUAAAUCCUACAGUACUCAAAGAAGAACAAUGGAUUUACAGGUCCUUCCGUGUGUGGAAAACUUGCUAUCUCUGAGCAACUUUGUUAGAAAAAUCAUGGAAUCUGAAGGCCAUCUGCUCCAACCCCACUGCUCAAUUAGGGCCACCCAGAGAGGGUUGCCUAGGACCAUAUUGGGGUGGCUUUUGAGUAUCUCCAAGAAGGGAGGCACUACAGACUCUCUUAGUAGGCUAGUCUAUUGAUUUUUUCUUAAUUUAUAACCUAGAUUUACAGUUAGCGUACAAUAUUAUUUCAUUUUGUGGAAGUGAUUUGCUAUAAGAUUCGUUUGCAACAAGUGGGCGUUUCUUUGCUUAACAAUGAAGAGAUUAUGAAACAGAUUCAUUUUGAAAGAGGAAAAAAAAAUUAAAAUGGUGCAUCAGUUGGAGGUAUGCAAAUUCAUAAAACUGCCUUACUGGAUGAGAUAUGUUGGAGCAACACAUAAUGAAUUUGCAGCAUAGCUACUUUAAGUGUGUAAAUGUUAAUGCCAGGUGAAAAAUAGUCCAAGAAGAGUCUUUCCAUGUAUUUCAUUGGGCUGUUGAUUAGUUUCUUUGCAAGGUAGGAAGAAAGGAUUUCCUUUGGCUUCUCCUAGAAUUCAUCUUCUCCUUAGAAAUACAGUGCUUGUUAACGUUCAUUUCUACGCCUUUCAUUCUUUUGCUUAUAAACUAACUGGUGAUAAGAGUUCACAGGUCUUUAUGUUCAAAAUAUGUAAGUAAGAAAAGGUUUAAUUUAUCUACUUUUUUUUUUUCGGAAGUGUCCUAACAAGCGCUUAAUGAGACAAGUAGUGUGUGCCUAUCUUUUACUGCUGAGUAUUGUGUCUUUGUGGCAACUGUGAGGGAUACUGUUGAGCUACUGGUCUGCUAACUGUCUAUGUUACUUGUAAACAAAUUCGUAAAACAUGUUUCUUACAGUUUUCUUAGAGAUGAGCUGUAUCAUGUUUAUGGAAGUCUAUCAUGUUUUAUAAACAAAUUAGUAAUCUAUCUUGAUUCAAAUUAUUCAUUAAAAUAAUUAAUUUAUCACAGGCUUAUCAUUGCUAGUACAUAAAAUUUACUAUGACUGUUGCAUAAUUACAAAAAAAAAAAAAAUUCCCAAACCACCUUAGGGCCUGAAGCAUAUUUUCCUAUUCUUCUUGUUUUGUACAGUGCUGAGCCACUGCCAGUCCUCAACAUGAUAAUGUUUCCUGUCUAACCAACAAAUAUCCUUUUAUCCAUCAUCUAUCCAUACUGUUGUCAUUGCUUAUUUAUCAAGUUUUCACUUGACUUUUUUUUUUUCUUGGAUUGGUAGUAGAAUCUGUUUGCAGCUUUUGAUGUAGUUCAUCAGUUCAAAUUUUCAUACAAACACCUAAUAAUAAAUAAUAGCAAAUGUAAUACAGUGCAAUAUAAGAAUAUAUAUAUCCAAGAUGAGCGUUGUUAUUUAUAACCCACUAAAUGUAAAAGAAUUAAAAGAUGCAAAUAUAUCAUGGUAACUCAAAUUUUAACAUAUCUAAACAAGAUAAACUCUUAUUGGAGUAAGAUUUUAUUUUUUUAAUAUCUUGUCAAAAAUAUACAAAGAAUACCUAUUUCUGCAGAAUAUAUAUUGGUUUUUAUUUUUCAUCAAAAUAUUUAUUUUUCUUUAGGCUGAAAAAGCAGCCAAAAGAUACUGUUAUUUUACAAUUUGUCCUGUGUUCUGGAUGAAAAAGCAGUGAUUUUGGUGAGGUCUUUCUUCUAGCUACUGGGCUAUAGCACCAGUUUGGUUGUUGCUAUUUUGUGCUGUUCAUGGGAUGUUGUACAUUCAGAGGUCUGAAGCGUUACUGGUUAUUUUUUUUUCCCAUCUUGUAGUAUUCCACAACUACUUCUAUUAUUUCAUUUCAGUGAAAUGGGGACAAGCUUAGCUUUUGGAUUUUCAUUGUCAUAGGAAUUCUGGUAUGAUUUGUAUAGCUUUACAACCUAUGGUAAGAGUACAUGGAUUUAGAAACAGACAUAAAUUAUCUGCUAUCUACAGUAGUUUACUUUAAGGGGUUACACACCCGUGAGAUUAUAAAAUCAUGUUUAUUUUUGAUAAAUUUAAAUUUUUGAUAGAAAUACUGUUUACUGAUGACAAAAAAAAAAUCUGUUAACAUCAUAGAUUUUUCUGACUUAAUAGGCAAUAAACUUAGCAAAGGUCAUGUGUGACCUGCUCCAAAGAAAUGACAUCUUGUUUUGUAUUUCUGCCAUACUAUAAGAAUGUCCGCGGGGGGGAAAAAAAAAAUCUUGCAGAAAAGAAACUGAUAAUCCUUAAUUUUAAAUUUAUUUUAGUCCCAGGGUAGUGACUUAGUUGUCAUCAGCAAGAGUAUUCCUGUUUGGUUUUUUUUACUGAACUGAGAUAGAUAAUUAUGAAUGUUCAUUCUGUGAAUGUUCUGGUCUCUAAACCACUUUUGGCCCUGGUGUAUAGGAUGUUUAUGAUUUAUACUAGCAAGUAGAAAUGGUGAUAUCUGCUGCAAGGGAAUUCUGUAGUGUAUGACAAAUCAAAUAAUUUCAUCUGUAGUGGGUAAACUUGAUAGUAAUUAAUCUUAAAGUAUGGUCAAACUAGGUUAAAAUAUAAUUAAAUAAUACUUUUUCU